AUUCUACACCCUCCAUUGCACAAUACAUGCCUUCUAUUUGUCAAAAUAUAUAUGUAUCUAUACAUGUUUUAGUAUAUAGGUACAUCCAUUUUUGGACAAAUGAAAUCAAGUAUUUUGGAACGGAGGGAGUACACA
rnacentral:pre_miRNA from 1 species